rnacentral:rRNA from 1 species
UCGGGAACUGGAGAGUGGCGCACGGGUGAGUAACGCGUGGGGACCUACCUCUUAGUGGGGGAUAACGGUUGGAAACGACCGCUAAUACCGCAUACGCCCUUCGGGGGAAAGAUUUAUCGCUAAGAGAUGGACCCGCGUUGGAUUAGAUAGUUGGUGAGGUAACGGCUCACCAAGUCAGCGAUCCAUAGCUGGUUUGAGAGGAUGAUCAGCCACACUGGGACUGAGACACGGCCCAGACUCCUACGGGAGGCAGCAGUGGGGAAUAUUGGACAAUGGGCGGAAGCCUGAUCCAGCCAUGCCGCGUGAGUGAAGAAGGCCUUCGGGUUGUAAAGCUCUUUCAGAUGCGAAGAUGAUGACGGUAACAUCAGAAGAAGCCCCGGCUAAUUUCGUGCCAGCAGCCGCGGUAAUACGAAAGGGGCAAGCGUUGUUCGGAUUUACUGGGCGUAAAGGGCACGCAGGCGGUCUUGCCAGUCAGGGGUGAAAGCCCGGGGCUCAACCCCGGAACUGCCUCUAAUACUGCAGGACUAGAGACUAGGAGAGGGUGGUGGAAUUCCCAGUGUAGAGGUGAAAUUCGUAGAUAUUGGGAGGAACACCAGAGGCGAAAGCGGCCACCUGGACUAGAUCUGACGCUCACGUGCGAAAGCGUGGGGAGCAAACAG